AAAUACCAAAUAUUGAACUUCGUAUCUAAUAUGCAUACUGUCAUUCCAACAGGUUGACUUAUCGCUCAGUCAAUUUCCAUCCAUUAGAUCCUCAUGCUGUCUAAAGCCUAAAACUCAUGUUUGAAGCACACAUAUAGUGGAAUACCAAUGUGCCGAAAUAAGGAUCUUUUCUGAAUCUCGCAAUUUUGGUGGCAUACCCUGCUACAGCAUGUUUGUUAUUAUGACUGUUUCUACUUCUGGUUAGAAGACAACCCAGCUGAGGGAUAGAGUUUCAGAGACAUGAAGAGUGUGAAGUGACCUGCCAUAUAUGUACC